AACAACGCUGGCGGCAGGCCUAACACAUGCAAGUCGAGCGAACCCUUCGGGGUUAGCGGCGGACGGGUUAGUAACGCGUGGGAAUAUACCCUUUGGUACGGAAUAGCCUCGGGAAACUGAGAGUAAUACCGUAUGUGCCCUUCGGGGGAAAGAUUUAUCGCCAAAGGAUUAGCCCGCGUUGGAUUAGAUAGUUGGUGGGGUAAUGGCCUACCAAGUCUACGAUCCAUAGCUGGUUUGAGAGGAUGAUCAGCAACACUGGGACUGAGACACGGCCCAGACUCCUACGGGAGGCAGCAGUGGGGAAUCUUAGACAAUGGGCGCAAGCCUGAUCUAGCCAUGCCGCGUGGACGACGAAGGCCUUAGGGUUGUAAAGUCCUUUCAGAUGGGAAGAUAAUGACGGUACCAUCAGAAGAAGCCCCGGCUAACUCCGUG
rnacentral:rRNA from 1 species